GACGAACGCUGGCGGCGUGCUUAACACAUGCAAGUCGAACGAAAAGAGGGAAAGAGCUUGCUCUUUCCGGAAUUGAGUGGCAAACGGGUGAGUAACACGUAAACAACCUGCCUUCAGGAUGGGGACAACAGACGGAAACGACUGCUAAUACCGAAUAAGUUCCAAGAGCCGCAUGGCCCAUGGAAGAAAAGGUGGCCUCUACCUGUAAGCUAUCGCCUGAAGAGGGGUUUGCGUCUGAUUAGCUGGUUGGAGGGGUAACGGCCCACCAAGGCGACGAUCAGUAGCCGGUCUGAGAGGAUGAACGACCACACUGGAACUGAGACACGGUCCAGACUCCUACGGGAGGCAGCAGUGGGGAAUCUUCCGCAAUGGGCGAAAGCCUGACGGAGCAACGCCGCGUGAGUGAUGACGGCCUUCGGGUUGUAAAACUCUGUGAUCCGGGACGAAAAGGCAGAGUGCGAAGAACAAACUGCAUUGACGGUACCGGAAAAGCAAGCCACGGCUAACUACGUG
rnacentral:rRNA from 1 species